rnacentral:rRNA from 1 species
GUCGACGCGAAACCUCCUUCAGGGAAGACAAGUAGAGUGGCUUCCGGGUGAGUAAAAGUAGGUAAUCUACCUUUGGAUUGGGAAUAACAACCGGAAACGGCUGCUAAUACCGAAUAAUGCAGCGGCACCUAAUGGUGACAGUUGUUAAAGCGGGGGAUCGCAAGACCUCGCGUCUGAAGAGGAGCCUGCGGCAGAUUAGCUAGUUGGUAAGGUAACGGCUUACCAAGGCGAUGAUCUGUAGCCGGCCUGAGAGGGCGGUCGGCCACACUGACACUGACAUACGGGUCAGACUCCUACGGGAGGCAGCAGUGGG